UGGGAAGCUCCCCACAACCAGAAAGAGGAAAACCAGGAGACGCUGAUGCCUGACCCACAAUCAGAUGAUACAUGAGAUCAUACAAUCCUCAGGUUCCCACCUCACCCUAUUCCAGAAUGUAAACAUAGGGAGCUGUAUGAAUGUGGAGAUACAACUCCUUCCAAAGGACGGUUGCCAAGAAAGAAGCGGAGAUUGCAAGGAGGACACACCACCAGGUUGGGUUUGGUGGGCCCAGAGCAUCAGGGAUGGACGAAAGGCCAGCCAGCCUGUGGCCAUCCUGCAAACACCCAGCUCCCCCUUUUGGCACUGCCCUUUGCGGCCUCCUGCAUUUCAUCCAGAUAUUUCCAGUAAAUAAACAUUGACGCUUUCGAUAUCA